AGGCUGAUUCCCCUUCAGGGUUCCCACCAACAGCUGAGGGGCUUCUCGGGGCCCCUUUGUUUCCUUUGGCCCCAUGAGUGCUGAGAGCUGAGUCCGGCUCCCAUGGCUCAGCUCAGCUUUUGCUUCCCCAGUUAUUGGUCAGCCCGGAUCCACGCCGCCCCAAGCAUCAGCCCAUCAUCCUUACUUUCCCCGUCUUUCAGACCUUGGCCCCCAAAAUUGUCACUGCUUUAGGAGUUCUUCAUUGAUUUCGAACAGACAUUUUAAGAUAGUUUUUUCUAGCUUGUGUUGUGUUUUUAAUGGGAGAGUUGGUCAGCGUCUGCUGGAACAGAGCUACGCCUAUGGAACCGUAGACUUGUUCGUGCUUUAUUGCAAUACUUUAAAGACACAAAGUCUCAACAACCAUCUUCCGCUUGACGAGACAGAUCAUUCUAAUUUGAGCAGAAGCUACUAUGUCCUGCCCUUUGAACGCGGCGGCCCGGACAGCUGACAAGGACACACUGUGUAUUUCCAUUCCAAUUCUGGGAGUGCUCUGAGGCCUCUGGGGGAGAAGGACCCAUGAAAUAUUCAAAACAUAAGUGAAUAAAAUAUCUAGGUGCUAGAUAUGGGCCAGGAAGAGCCCUCGGCCCUGCAAAGUGUGUGUGAUGGUGAGAAGCUACCGGAAGAGAUGGUCCCUGUGCUUGGUUCAUUCCUUGGACAUUUAUCAAGCUGACGAAUGUAGCAGAGGUGCUUCAGUCGGCUGUAAUUCCACGGGUGGAGUGCUGGCUGGAGAGUUACCUGGGGCUGUCACACUGCAUGGGCUCCGGGACACUGUGGCUGCCCUUAUGUGGUGUCCCCGGAGGGCCCUGCAGGUGUCACACCGCUGCUCCACACUGCCACCUGCUGUCAGCAUCUGUGCAACGUAUCCAGGUCUCUGGGGGCUAGAAUGAAAAACAUGCAUCUCGUAACCAAUGAAAUCGGGCUUGUCCUGAAGACCUCGUGCAUUCAUCCAUUCUCACACUGCUAUAAAGACAUACCUAAGACUGGGCA
ensembl:lncRNA LINC01694 long intergenic non-protein coding RNA 1694